rnacentral:lncRNA from 1 species
GUGAGAGUAGACAGUCUUGCCUUGUUUCUUAUCUAAGGAAGAAAGAUCCAAUCUAUUACCCUUAAGUUUAAUGUUAGCUAUAUGUAUCUCAAAGAUGCUCUUAAUGGAGAUGGGGAAGUUCUUCACUAUUUCUAUUUUUCUGAGGAUUUUUAUAAUGAAUAGAUUUUGAUUUUGUCAAAUUAUUUAUUUGCAUCGGUUGAAAUGAUCAUGAGAUUUUUCUUCUUUAGACUGUUAAUAUAGUGGACCGUAUUGAUUGCUUUGCAAAUACUGAACCAGCCUGGCAUCUCUGGAAUAAAUUCUACUUUGUCAUGCCUAACACACCACCACCACCACCACCACCACCUCAGCCUUCCCACGUUCUGGCAGUCUUCCCAAUUCUGCCAAUCAAAUUUCAAACUAUACUUUGCUGUGGGCAUGGAUGGAGAAGCAGGUCACAUCUGAUGAAUGAAGAGGAGCUUCCAAGCAGCCAAAGUAAAGUAUUUUGCUACACAAACUGCAGGAUCAAUGUUCGUGUUUUGAAGCUCAAGAGAUUGACAGCUGUAGAAAUUAAGUUCCAGAAUAUAUCCACCAGCCAGGUUCAUAAUUGUCUCAGAAGUGGCCCUGGGAAACCCAAACAGCUCCAAGGACCACUAUACCAGGCCACUCCGCUUCUCUAAUAAAAUAUUUCUACCACUACUCUUAAAAUUUGUUUUUAAAAUUUAAUUUUUAAGAGCUGUUUUAGGUUUACAACAAAAUUAAGAAAGAGGUACAGAUAUUUCCCACAUACCCCCUGUCCCAUACAUGCAUAACUUCCCCUUUAUCAACGUCAGUCUCCA